AGCACCUAACAGCUAAAAUGAAAUUGGGAAGGAAAUUUAGGCUCCAAAGCCUGUGACGUUCUGCUUCUGCUACUGUACAGUGGAUGCCACUGGAAUUUGGGAUAUGGCCUUUGUUCAGGUUUCUGAGUUCGUACUGAUGUCUUGUGGAAUGGAGGGCUCCCAUACUUCAUUCUGUCUUCAGGAAACUCCUGAAUCUACAGAUAAAGGUAGCAUUCCUUCUCUAUAGCUGCUUGCUGAAUCUCUGCUGGAGAGAACUGCCACAGGAGGCAUGUACAUGUGCUGGGAUAUGAUACAACAGCUGUUUUUGAGGGGACAGAUCUACCCUAUCUGUGGAAACCAAGGAAGGAUUGGUGUAUAUGGAUUAUGGCCAGGAAAGAAACAGGAUCCAGAACUGGUGUUUUAGAAGACAUAUAGAAGGACAAGCAUAUGGAUAAAUGCCACAGAAAUAUCUUCAAAAUAAUCCAGAAGCAAAACUCUUAUUGAAAAUGGGAGAUGUUAAGUACUGAUAACCUGUCCACAGUGAAUAGAAGAUGACCAGGAGUGGAAGAUCUCCCCGACUUUGAGUUCUCCUCCCAUCACCAGGAUGCUGCUGACCUGCUCUCUGCUCUGCACUCAACUCAGUGGUGGGACUUCCAGAGGCUGCCUUCACCAUUUCCUUCAAUUAUGUUCUCCAUAAAGCCCUACCUCAGCUCUCCCAGAGUCUCAGCUAUUCAAGUUACUCCAGCUGCUGAGGAUCUGGAUCCAGAAACGGAAGGGAAAAAGAAAUAGCUGAAGGAAAACAGUUUUCUUUUGAGAGCGUUCAGCAGAUUUUGCCACAAGUAAAACCAUCAGGAUGUGAGCUGAAACCUGUGUCAGUGUCCACAGUGUUUGAAUAGUCUGGUUUUAAUAGAAACAUGAAAACGCCAUAUGGAGCCAGACAACCAUUUCCUUCCUUCAGCGUGUUUGUCCAUGUUUAAGUGGAGCACAGCAACAUUUCUGUGACUUGCUUCUUGUUGGUGCAUUGGAGAGUUGAAGAAAUGGAGUAGCCUGGAUUGGUCCUUGAUAUGCAAUCACUUCAUGGAGUACUGUACACAGGACUAUGCACCAUUAGCCAAGCCUCCCAGUCAGCCAAAUGUGUGCCAGGGAAGGAAUUACGUCUUUUCAUUAGGAGGGUAACAGUAUGAAGGCAUUACAGGACACAGCGUUGAGUGCCACCAGUCUUGGAAUUGAACAGGUCAGAAAUGCCAUACCAACACAUGGCUUCCUGCAAAGACAUGAACUCAAGGAAGGGACUUAAAGUACAGCAUGUGUCAAAGGGCUUUGCAGAAGCUGCAGGAGGGCUCCAUACAGCAAAACAGAGGAGCACUCACUUCCAUUCAAUCUCGGCAGAGCCCUGAUAAAUGCAUAAACAAACUUUUUUCCUUCUUACACAGUUCUGAGUGAUGACAGUAUCUCUACGAUCUUCAAGAGGAAGUAAUCAUUUGCUGAUAAACAUCUCCUCUCCAAAUGUACCUAGUAAAAAGACACAUUCUUUUGUAUAUAUUUAAUUACAGGAGAACAGAUUUUGUCCAAAUAAUUAGGUAAUUUAAACUAUGCAGUCUUUCCCAAAGAACUAUAUUUAACCUUCAUUUGAAUUUAAUUUCCACAUCACAGUGCCCCUUAAGCGGUUCUGUAAGUCAAAACAGUGAUCAAAUAUUUUUAAAAUGUCAAAUGUUGCUUAAUUGUGGAUAGCACUGAAUUUGUUUUAAGAGAUAACAGCUUUUGAUCUGCUGCUAUUUUUUGUCUGUCCUAUUGUCAUGUUUCUCUUCAUCAGAAGUUUCUGUCAACUGUUUAAUCCAUACAACACCCGACUUUCCAGACAGCUGAAGAUUUCAAAGAAGAAAUGUGGGGAACCCUUCAAAAGUUUCAUGAAGUAUUAAACAGGAUGUGGAUUAGUGUCUUGCUACUACAGACCCCAGCACUUGCAAGAGGAGGAAAAAAAAGCGUUUUAAAAAUUCAAGUAUUAUUAAGGGAUUAUAAUGUUUUUGCCUGAAUUAAGGGUAGUGCUGUAAAGAAUAAUUUUACAGCAUUAAUAUAAAUCAGCAGAACUUUAUUGGCUUUAAUACACCUAUUCUGAUUUGCACCACUCAUGAUCAGGCUCCUUAUAUCUAAAUGUAUCUUUUGCUCCAUGGAAGUAGAUCAUUUUUCUCCUGACUUGCUCUUUCCUAUUGUCUUGCCCCUGUAAAUUAUAUAUAUUAGGUUCAUAAGCAGUGUAGUGAAAGUAAACAGGAAGAGAGUCUCACAGUUUGAAUGAAUUAUAACAAAAACUACAGUAGGUCUGACCUACAUUAAGCUAGUUCAGUAGAACAAUCUACACACAAAGUGGCUUGUAUUUCAGGGUUGGCUCUAAGGUUGAUUCUCAGUUAAAAAAAAAAAAAAAAAAGAAUGAUUCCAAAGAAUCACAAGUCUUAUCAGUCUCUUUGAAACAAACAAAAGCCAACAUACACUCCACAGCUCAGUUGUAAAAACAAUAGAGCAGGAAGACUUUCCUGUAACAGCAUCUCCCACUGGGCGAUAGCAGUUGAAAGUACUUACUAUGAUUAUGAUUAAUUUCAUUAGUGCUCAGUUCACUUUAAUACUUUUCUCCCUCUAUCUCUGAAUGCAGAUAAUUUUUCCCUGCAAGUAAAUCCAGGGUGACAGUUUAAUAGGCUCAGACAUGCUUAGAUCCGAAAUGAGACUGUAAUAUUAAUAUACUAUUGACCAGUUAUAGAUUAAGCAAACUGAGGGCACACUUAAGUAAAUGACUUCAGAGGGACAAGUUAAUGUGCUAAGUGGUUCACAGGCAAUGAUUAAAAAUAUUCUUCAUUUACUUGGAAAUUAAUAGGUUUCUUUAAUUAAUCUAAUAAAGCCACCCUGUGGUAUGUUACAUAUUUGGUGUAUGUUUUAAAAGAAGAUGCUGAGUUGCUGGAUCUGGAAAUCCCUGUUCUGCUUACUGAAGAAAGGAAACAGUCAUAUAUAAAAGCAGCCUUGCACAUGGCUAGAAUUUCCAACAAGCCAUCUUCUUUGCCACAAGUAGGAUUACAUUGCAUGACGGGUGUUAUGAAUCUCAAUGUUAAGCAAUCAACAGCACCAGCAAUUCCAUGUGUGAAUUGCAGAAUCAUCCAAGUAUCUUCAGGGAUUGUUAGUGUAUUUCACAACUGCAUCCAGUCAAAUGAGCACUUUUCUCCUCCAACAGUCUUUCAAAUCCAACUGGUCAACCAAUUGAAAGAAAACAACACAAUCUUUGCAACAACAGCAAUUUAUAUGCCGAGAAGUGCUAAAGCCUUGCAAAGGAUUACGGGCUGAAUGUGAGCAGCUGCAGGAAGAGAAGGAGAACCCCUUUCCUCACCACAGCAGUGGAAAACUUCUGAAUUUACUCCAUGUUCUGCAGAAUACCAUGUUACUUACUGGCUUGGACCCAACUUUGAAGGAAUUCAAAAGAAAAAGGGAGAAUCCCCAACUCCUAGCAAGAGCACUAUGGCAGGGAUCAAUUCCUUCCCAGGGCACAGGGGGCUACAGAAGGAAGCAGUGAGAAUACGUUAUCAAUCAGACUUGAAGAAUAAGAAGAACCUGUCUGUAUUUGUGGAUGGCUGAGAUCAAGCUUGGUCUUAGAAUCAGGCAUCUUCCUUAAGAAGAAAGGGAUGUGACACAGACUUUUAAGUUUGACAUGGGUGACAGCAAGUCUUUCAACACAUGAAGCCCAUUCAUUUUUGUCUUGAAAACAGUUUUGUAAAUGUCAGAGUUUAAAACUCAUUUGACUCAUUUUUGCCUUUUUUUCAGCAGCGUUUAUCUCACCCCAAGUUUGAAGGGAGAUCUGUCCAUUUCCGUCAGAAGAAUAACUCAGUCAACAGACAGGGACUUCUGUUUUACCAAGCCUGCUGUGCCUGCUUCUGGCAAUGCUGGGUUACAGGAGCUCAGGUUCUUGUGUUUGAAAACCUCUAUGUGGCAAACAGAGAGAAUGAGGCUUUAAAACUUUCUGUUUUCUUUGGCUUUUGGGCAACUGGUUGCAUUCUAUCUAAGGGAAAAAAUACUUCAUGCUGCAAAACUAUGUCCCUCUCCUAUGGCAUGUCAUCAGAUGUCUUACAUAUUUUAACUCAAAUAUGAAAUGGCAAUACAAAU
ensembl:lncRNA